UUUCUUACGUAUAUCUAUGUUUAGAAAAUAAUAAUAAAAAUAUUUUUCUUUAUUUAUUUCACCAUAAAAAUACUUUUUGGUAAAUUAGAACUGUUAAGAAAAUUAGUACCUACAAUAACAUUUCACUUCAAUCAUUAUAUGUCCGACUUUCAUAAUAUAUAUAGAUGAAUCCAUUAAGAAUCGAAGACUCUAUUUUUCCAUCUAAAAUAAAUUAGUAAAAAAAAAUAUAGUAGCUACUCUUUGCUAAUUUAAUUUGGCCGCAUCUUUAAGCUUACAAAGUUACCCAUAUAUAUAUAUAUAUAUAUAACAUAUGGCUGUACUUUUAGGUCGUGAUAUAUCCUAUCAAAAAAUAAAAUGAAAAUUUUUAAACUUUUUAACAUAAAUAUAUUAAAAUAUAAGGAGAAUAAAAGUAACCAAUAAUUAUAUUUUCAGAUUCUUCGGAUUAUCAUGCGAAACAUUUUCAGGGACCUAUAUACAUGUUCACAUAUAAGGAUAUCGAUAAGAAAUUAGUAAAUGCUAAAAUUGGUGGCUAAUCUAUUGCUAGUUUAUUUUAUCUACAUAUUUAAUUGUUCAACGUUACAUAUAUAUAUAUGGUUGUCGUUAAUAGGUAUUUUUAGGUGCUGACUUAUUGUAUCAAAAACGAAAAUGAAUAUUUUAAAUAAAAUUUAACAAAAAUAUUUUAGGAUAUAAAGAAAAUAAAACUAACCAAUCAAUUGAAAACAGUUUUUCUGGAUAAUUCUAAAAAUAGUCUUCAAAGACCUAUAUAUAUGUAUAUGUUCAUACGUAGGGUUUCCUAAAAUACACACACAAAGCAUUUUUUUACUGUGAAAGUUUACAAUGUCGGCAUUGAAAUUUGCUAUAUUUUGUAUUGUUCUCAUUUGUCUUGCUAGUCUUCAUGAAUGUGCCAACCCGGAAAGAAAGCCCAAAGGAACAUGCUCUAAAACACCAAAGAAUGUUUGGUGUUGCAGUUCCACUACACACUGCCGAAGCACCAAAGCGGAUUGUGAGAAGAUAUGUAUCUGGUAGUAUCUGGGGCCGUUGAAUUUUACCAAAGAGAUUUUCAAUAAUUAUAUAUUCCAAUAAUUUUCAUAAUUCUAUUAUUCAAAAUUUAAAGAAUAAAUAGAAAUUCCUAUUCCACAGGAGCAGCUAGUAUUAUGUACUAAAUGUUUUGGAGUUUCUUUGAAAGAUCAAUAUAUAUAGUUGUAACUUUCUUCAA